GGUCAGUUUCCAUUCUGGGUUUUCAGCAUUAAUAAAGAAACCUGCAACAAGGUGAGUAAUGUUUGAGGUCCAAAAGAAAUCAACACAGAAAUUUUUUACAGUGCUUUUCUACCUGAACAUUCAAAGCGCUCUAUACAGGUUGCCUCAUUCACACCUGUUCAUAGAAGCUCUUUUUCUGUGCUUUCUAUCUAACAUUCACACACAUUCAUACUCUGAUGAAUGCAUCAGAGAGUGACUUGGGGUUAAUGUCUUGCCCAAGGGCAGUUAGCAUGCAGUCUGGAGCAGCCAGGGAUCGACCCAAAAACCAUCUGAUUAGUAGAUGACCUGCUCCACCUCCUGAGCCACAGCCACCCCCUUUUAGAGGUAAAGAAUCAAUUAGAAAAGGUGGAGUUUCCAGCAUCUCACCUCGGCCUCAUCUGCAAACAAUCAGCAGGAGGGCUUCUUAAACCAGCGCUGCCUGCUACUCCUCGCCAGUUUGUUCUGCCAUCUCCAGUGGUAACUAGGCUUCACCUCUGCUCCAGUUCUGGCUUGCUCGUUCCCUGUGUUUAGGUCUCCUCUGCCAACGUACUCAUCCUACCCUCAAAUUCCCUUACCCGUCCAGCAACUUCUUCUCCCUCUGUUGCAGAAUUCCCGUUGGAUUGUUCCCAUCAGGAGCCAGGUGUUCAGUCUCUCGAUAGCUUUUCCUCUGGUUCCUGCUCUCUGCUGACACUCGUAGCUCGAGUCACGUUCUCCAUUCCCUCUCUUUAAACAAAGUCUCAUAAAUAGUUUAACCAUGUGCAUUGAAUCUGCAUUUGGGUCUAAGCCUUCUAUGGAGGGAAGAAAUCAUCACAGUGACAUCUAUUCAAUUUUCAAUUCAAUUUUAUUUAUAGAGCACCAAAUGACAGCAACAGUCACCUCAAGGCACUUGAUGUUGUAAGGUAUACUUACAAAGAAAACCCCAACAAUCAUAUGACCCCCUAUGAGCAAGCACUUUGGCGACAGUGGGAAGGAAAAACUCCCUUUUAACAGGAAGAAACCUCCAGCAGAACCAGGCUCAGGGAGGGGCGGCCAUCUGCUUCGACCGGUUGGGGAGGGGCAAGGAAAACAGGAUAAAGACAUGCUGUGGAAGAGAGACAGAGG